rnacentral:sRNA from 1 species
UAAAUCCCCAACCCCAGGCUUGAAUUUUCUUCCACGUCCAAUGUUGCUGGCUGUACUAUACAUAGACCUUUGGACCAAAAAGGACACACAAGCUGUGGGGUUUGUCUUUGAUUUUUACAAAUGGGAGUAACUGAGGCCUGGUUCAGUCACAUACUUAUCUGAUUAUCCACUUAACAAAGAUCAGCUGAACACAUGCCUCACAUGUGUGAUGAUUCUAGAGCAGAGUAUCUUCCAGUACUGAAACUUGGAACUCGCCUAGAGGGCUUGUGGGGUCUUCUGCCUAGUGCAUUCAUAUGGCCACUAUGGGACUCAGGUAGAAUUGCUGGCCAAGGCUGUCUAUGCCACACAAAGCAUUUUCCUGAUACAUUUCUCUUUCUAUCAUGAGCCUGAGGUAAACAGGACAACUGUGGGGCCUUGAAUUUCCUGUCAAUCAAUCACUGGGCAGCUGAGAGAGGGGGAGGAGAAAAAGUAAAUGACUUCACAUUAAUCUUCAACCGAGAUCUAAGCUAGGACAAAGGUCACAGAAUCCCCAGUGGAGUCUGUAUUGGGCAUGGGACAGAUUCUAAUGGUCAUGGCCAGGCCCUGUCUGUACACGGAUCAGAAAAGACCCAUGAAUCAAGUCUUGACCAUGAUGGCAUCCCGUCAAGGAUGUGAAGCCACCAACAUCUUCAUGCAGAGCAUUCUUUACAGAGAAGAAGCGAGGAAGCAGAGUCUGCAAGAGGGUCCUCUGUCAUGGCCUGCACUCUCUCUCUAGUGAGGACCUUGGAAAUUGGAAUUCCCUGUCUUCCUCAAGGCAGCUAUUGAGCCCAGGAAGAUCUCUUUUUCCCUGCCCUUUAUGGAGCCUCACAUGACAGGAAGGAAGGAGAGCAAUACAGGAACUCUGACGAAUCUCCCACAAGCUAAGGGAUAAACGUCAGCAAGACAGAACGAAGUGCUUGUAUUUCCCCUACUGCUACUCUGGAGAGGUCCUCACGGAGUAAAUCUGUAGGCUUUCCUCUGGCCAAUCGGUCAUUUGAGUCAGGAGUGUCCUCCUGAACCUAGGAAUGAGAGGUGAAGGUCCCUCUUCCUACAGUGACAGUGCAAGCUUCCUGCCGUCGGAAUCUGGACCUGGUUAUAUACCGUCCUUCAAAGCAUGCUAAGCUGUAUAGUAAGUAGCCUUGAGAUAUUCUACUCGUGCAAUGAAAAAGGAAAGUUUGAUCUAUUUGUACUUUGUCUGCUAUAAAUCUCACAAGGUUUGCAUUAAGGAACGGGCAAAUAUUUUGUGGUGUUAAUUUUAGGAAUCAAAAUAAAUGACAACACAUGUCAUAUAGUUAACUACACAUCUGUAAUUGUGUAAUUGUGAUUUCUAGUAUAGUAUUUGGGAUAUCUAGUUGAUUUCUCAAAUGCCCCCCUUUCCUUGUUAAUUUAUGUGGCAGACUGUAGAGCAAGUAGCUACCUUUAGAAUUUCCAAACACCAUGAAGUAUUGCGUGACUUAAAAUUCCUUCUCACUUUAUUUUUCUCGUGACUAAUUGGGUCCCUGCACGGAGGACAGCAUCACCAGUGACUUUGCUACAUCUAACAAACUGAAGCCAUCAAAGGACGUGAUGGAUGGUGGAAUGCUCAGAGCCGACAAACAAGCACUGCGCAUGCUCAGCUCUCAGCUCCUCCUCCUCUCACUUCUCAUUGCACAGCUGCCACAGGAGAUGCUUCCGUGUUUAUACAAAGAACAGUACAUGGUUCUGCAGAUUCUUCUGAUUUGCUCUCCAAAGGCUAGGCUGAGCCGGGGUUGUAACUAGCUCUUGCGUGACCCUGAAGAUGUGGACCUGGGGCUUCCAUAUCAGGAGGUGUCUGUCCGUGGCUCUGGUUUGAGUGGACUGCGUCCCUCCGGCUUGCUUCACACAUCUGCUUAGGAGCACGGGCUUCAUUUCCAAAAGAAAAGGAAGGGGACUUACCUGGUUAUUUAGGCUUUUCUUUAUUUAAAGUGAAAAGUACUGUUCACAGAUGAAAUACAUAUUUGCAUAUGGUCAUAAAAUAUUUACAUGGAAAUAUACAAAAUGCAGUAAUUUAUGAUCCCUUAAUUAGUCUUUGAGUGGAAUAAGAACCUAAUGAAAUGGAAUUUGUUAAUUCAUUAGUGUUGGGCUAUAACUCUGGCACCGUUUUUCAGUAAUUAAUAGGACCUGAAAAGAACAUUGUUUGGUUUCAUUGCAUUUCCCCCUUUAACACUUUAUUUGGUGUGAGCUUAGUACAUUUUAAGAAGUAAAAAGUAUCUUAUUCAGUCAUUUUAUUAAAGCAUAUCCUCAGGCCACACCAUGAAACUACACUGCAUCAUCCCACCACCCUGCAUCCCACUACACUGCAUCCCACCACACUGCAUCCCACCACACUGCACACCACUACACUGCACCCCACUACACUGCAUCCCACCACCCUGCAUCCCACUACACUGCAUCCCACCACACUGCAUCCCACCACACUGCACACCACUACACUGCACCCCACUACACUGCAUCCCACCACCCUGCAUCCCACCACCCUGCAUCCCACCACCCUGCAUCCCACCACCCUGCAUCCCACCACCCUGCAUCCCACCACACUGCAUCCCACCACCCUGCAUAUCACUACACUGCAUCAUCCCACCACAUUGCACCCCACUACACUGCAUCCAACCACACUGCACCCCACUACACUGCAUCCCAAUACACUGCAUCUCACUACACUGCAUCCCACCACCCUGCAUCCCACUACACUGCAUAUCACUGCACUGCAUCAUCCCACCACACUGCACCCCACUACACUGCAUCCCACUACACUGCAUCCCACCACACUGCAUCCCACUACACUGCAUCCCACCACCCUGCAUCCCACUACACUGCAUCCCACUAUACUAUAUCCCACUAACUGCAUCCCAUUAUACUAUAUUCCAUAAAACAUAUAUGCACAGACAUACAUGCAACCAAGACACCCUCAUAGACAUAAAAUAAAAAUAAACUCAAAAGCCUAUUUUAAGAUGAAUUGACAUGUGGACAGCUGCUUGCUGAACAGGUGAGGUAGAAGGGGGAGGUGGUAUACUGGGUAUAUUUGAGAAAGAACCAAUGUGAGAGACAGCUAUCAGGUAGGAAUCUACAUACAAAAUGACGGUUGCUAUAUAAAGUUGUUUGGGAAUCCAUAUAGUAUUGUGACGUAUUAAUAACACACAGAAUUUCUUAGCACCGAGAUUUCAUCAAUUUCAGUUAUAUUAGUUGCUGUCUCAUUGAUGUCAACAGAUACUGAACAACAACUUAAGGGGGGGGGGACUUUACUCUUGGUCGCAAUCUGAGAGGAUAUAUCAUCUGUCACAGCAGAGAAGGUACAGCACUGGCAGCUCAGCAGUGAAGGGAGAGCAAGGCUGCUUGUUCACACCUUGAUAGACUAGGAAGGACAGACAGAUACAGCAACGUCUCUGUGGCUUCCUCCUUUCUUCUUUUAUUCAGCCUGGGGUUGGUAUUGUCUACAUUCAAGAACAGUCUUACCAAAAUGGGUGCGUCACCUGCGUAUUCUCAGUCCUUUCAGGUUGACAGAGCCCACAGAGAUACUCUAUAGAGAGCAUAUUCAUCCAUUUACAGAGCUUGUGGGCUCCAUGAACUAAGCUAAAAUGUAAUAUUAUUGACAGGUCAAGACAUUGCUGAGAAUGUCUUCUCCUUCAUUUGUCUUCCAUUUCCCCAGGGUAGCCGCAGACCUCAGUCAUCAAGAUCCACACUUCUUCUUCACAAAACGAACGAUCUGCUAAAUUGCUGUUCGAGAUUUGAAGCUAGUCUCAAUUGUUAGUUUAUUAAAUGCAAUAAGUUACAAUAAUGAAGUGUUAAAAUUAUAACCCACAUGGGCAAGAAAAACUAGCGAUUCCCAAAUAGAAUUAUAAAAAUCUUAACUCUUGUGUUUUUUGACUUGUGGUUUUAAUAUCUGCAGUCUAGUCACUAGCACGUCUCAUAAUACAUUUACAAAAUAUAAAGAAUAAUGAGCACAAAUGAGCAAUCCCUUCGUGUAUACAUGAACAUGUUUUCAUUACCCAAGUGACUCUUCACCAUGGCAGUUAGUAUAUCUGAAGCAGUUCUUUCAAGGAAGGAAAAUGUUUUAACAGCUAAAUUUUCUCUAAUCUAAUGUUAUACUGUCUUUUUGAAAAAAAAUACUUCGUAAUUUUUUUCAAAAGUCAUAGGAGGUUUUCUAACUGAGAUGCUGUUAAAAUAUGUUUUUCAAUGGAUGGACAAUGUCAAGAAAUUCGCCAUUCACAGGAAAGAAAUCAAAAGGCAAAGGUCUCCUUCAGAUAGUCCUGACCAUCUUGAUUUGCUGAUAAAAUUUUAUAGAGUGACAAUUGAACUCCUAACUUCAGACAAAAUUAGGGAUAAGGCAUAUAACAUAAAACAGAUAAUAUAUAACAUAAUAUAUACACACAAAUAUUGCAUGCAUAUAAAGCCAAUAGGUUGCAGUUAGCACAUCCUUAAGUCUUGUUGUUAUGACUGUCUGAAGCAAAAAAUAGUAUCUUGUCUCAGCUUAUGCAUGUGUGCAAAUCACAUACACAGGUAUUUGAUAUACAUUAUCUAGCUGCCUUUAACAAGCAACUUCCUGAGAAAUAAACAACAUGCUUUGUGUUUAUUACAGUGACUUCUUUAUAUCAGGGUAGUUCCACAGUUGGUCUCACACUAGGAAACGAUUGAAUCUCAGCUUUCUGUGGCCAAGGUAAGACACUAAUGUAUCUAAAAGAAACUUCCAGAAUUAAUGGAAAGUUCUCUGAUUGACAUGCUCACAAUUUAUCAAUACCAGAUACAAAGUUUAAAAAUGAUCCAUGUCUCUCCUCCAAAGUAAGAGGGCGGGUUUCAAGAUACUAAAGGAAGAAGUAACUCAAAUCUUCUAGCCGGGAUGCCAGAGCAUGAACACAAAGUAAAGAUGAUCAGCCCAAGUCUGAGGGAUUCCCAAGAAAAGGCAAAUUUAAAUUCACAUCACAGUAGCUAAAAAUUAACAUGUAAAUAUGAAAGAAACUUAAAAGGAGCAGAUUCAAGUCAUAUAAUCCAGCACUGCCAGUAAGAAAAGCCAUUACCUAAAAAAGUAGAUAUGAAAAUAAUCACCAUCAUAUUCUUUGAAGAAACAAGAAUAAAUUAGAGGAAGGAUAUUUGUCAGAAAUAAACUGGAGAAAAUUUCAAAAGACAAUGUAAAGAAAGUAAAUAAAAGGAAGGGGAACCAUAGUGUUAUAAAGGGAUACAGGGAGCUAGACUAGGAGAACUAAAUGAGAUGGGAAUGGGAGGGGAACUAGAAUAUAGCGUUAUGAAGAGAUAUGGGGAAGCUAGACUAGAAGAACUAAAUGGGACGGGGAUGGGAGGGUAGGGUGAAAGAGGAACUAUGAGAAGGGACCGCUAACACAAAAGUUUUUCUGAGAGGCCAUUUGGAAGCCUACCAUCAUAGAUGCAUGCCAAAAUAUGUACAUAAGUGUUAGGAAUUUAAAUGGAGUCGCCACAUGAUGGGGUGGGACGGGGGGAGAGAAUGUCACACUUUGAAAUUUUAUGCCACCAAAUAAAACCUCCCAGGCCAUGAAUGGGUUACAUCUUGGGGAGUUGUUUGUCAAAGGGAUCCCAUAGACCUCCCUAUACAUCACAGCGUAGUGCCAAGACUACUGGUUGCUCUCCAUAGCCUAACAAGAAGGCCCUGCAGCUGAAGACACAUUCAUAUCACUGAGCAUAGAGCUGGUGCCCAGUAGAAGUUUCACCCUUACUGACUAGAGUUCAUGGUUUUGGAAGGUACUUUACGUGCUACCAAAGGAGAAAUGUAGUCAACAAUAUCACUCAGCUAUGAACCCACGUCCACAGCAGUGUCUCAUCAGCGUUAUUGAUUGCUGUAGUAGUAGAACAAAAGUUAGGGAGCAAAUCACCUUUUGAUUGGAUCUAAAGCCCAACCCAUGAGAUGGAGCACAUGUCUGAGUCUGCUAGAGUAGCCAAGACCUGAGACUAGACAGGGAAACUUAUAUCAUUCUGCUAAAGGAACAUAGCAACAAAAUGGUAUUUAAUGCCAUAUCACUAUAUUCAUAGAUCCAUGCAUUCUUCAACCCUUACCAGAGAAGCUGCUUCCUAUAGUAGACGGUCUCUAACAUGGAGACACUCAAUGAAGCACCAUAGAGAGAAUUAGUGACUUUGAAAUGCUCAACCCUAAAUGGGAUAUCUAUGUCAAACCCCUUUUACUAGGCUUAGGAAUCUAUGAGGAAGAGGAGGCAGAAAGACUGUAGAAGCCAGAGUUGGUGGAUGGCUGUGAGCCAUUAGGGGUUGGUGGAUGGCUGUCUUCUCGACUCAACAGGGCUGAUACUUAUAUCAACUUGCAGGGCGUUGACAGCACUGACAUGAUCUGCUCAAGUUUAAGCCAGAACAAAAUCCCAGCACCAAGGAGGGGAGAAGACACUGGGUCCACCCUUAACCCAGAAGCUAUCAGUUUUCUCCAAUGAAUGCCACUGAGUGUAGCAACCACACUCCAAGGCAAGCCAUGCCCAGGAGUAGUUGUCAAGCACAAAGUGGAAUCCAGAUAUAAUCUUGUAAAAAUUCCACAUGCAAUUGAAAUUAAGAAAGCACCGUUGAGAAAAAGGGAAUUUCUACAGAUAGCAAGAUACAAAGAACCAGCUCAAGACAACAUGGUUUACAGUCAACUUGUGAUUUUGCAAUCUGAAGCAGUCCUUGAGAAGCAGGCAGAUGCUUCCUCACUGCUCGCCUGUCUUCUGCUUCCUUCUUCCUGUUAGAUGUAUAUGAUCUGACAUGGGAACGGGGGGUGGGAGAGCAAGAGGUAGCUGUUGCCAACUUGUGAUGCUGCACCAGUUGGUCUUUAAGAUGAACCCUGCCUUGCUUCCAGUGCAUCCCCAUUAGCACUGUAUGUCCACUCGGCCAAUCCUUAUACAGGCCACAGGCAAACACUGAACAGGAUGUAGAGACAGAGAGUGCUAGGAGCAGAUGGCGUUUUUGUCCUAUAAGUAGUGUGUCUCUCGAGUAAAAUGCCAUGGGUCAGAACAGAGGAGGACACAACCGAGGGACUGAGGAGACCGCAGGCGACUAUGUGCCCCCUCUAGUGUUGUCUCCAGAGUCACAGAAGCUCCUGUCUGGACAGCACAGCGCACUGGAUGACAUGGCCACACUAGCCACCGAGGAGUCUAAGUUAGCUGCUCUGUAGAGUUCCUGAGACUACCAAAACUUAAUCCUGGGCAGUAAUAGUAGAUCCGUAUUAAGGAAAGUACGAGAGCUUAGGAAAACUCUUGCCAAAGCUUAAAAAGGGAUAAGAGAAGAAAAUGUGAGUGGCAAGAUAGCAGUGGAGGGACAGAACCGUGGAAUCCACACAUUACAUUGUUCUAAGAAUGAACUGGAAAAUGUGUGAUCAAAAUAACAAUCCACGAUCUUACAAAAGACGGAAGACUUCUAAUAAAAGAUAAUAAAUCUGCAAUGCUGAUGCAGGAAAGCAA